GAUGAACGCUGGCGGCGUGCCUAAUACAUGCGAGUCGAGCGAACGGACGAGAAGCUUGCUUCUCUGAUGUUAGCGGCGGACGGGUGAGUAACACGUGGAUAACCUACCUAUAAGACUGGGAUAACUUCGGGAAACCGGAGCUAAUACCGGAUAAUAUUUUGAACCGCAUGGUUCAAAAGUGAAAGACGGUCUUGCUGUCACUUAUAGAUGGAUCCGCGCUGCAUUAGCUAGUUGGUAAGGUAACGGCUUACCAAGGCAACGAUGCAUAGCCGACCUGAGAGGGUGAUCGGCCACACAGGAACUGAGACACGGUCCAGACUCCUACGGGAGGCAGCAGUAGGGAAUCUUCCGCAAUGGGCGAAAGCCUGACGGAGCAACGCCGCGUGAGUGAUGAAGGUCUUCGGAUCGUAAAACUCUGUUAUUAGGGAAGAACAUAUGUGUAAGUAACUGUGCACAUCUUGACGGUACCUAAUCAGAAAGCCACGGCUAACUACGUG
rnacentral:rRNA from 1 species